UACGUAGGGUGCGAGCGUUAAUCGGAAUUACUGGGCGUGAAGCGUGCGCAGGCGGUUCGUUGUGUCGGCGGUGAAAGCCCCGGGCUUAACCUGGGAAUGGCCGUUGAAACUGGCGAACUGGAGUGUGGCAGAGGGGGGUGGAAUUCCGCGUGUAGCAGUGAAAUGCGUAGAGAUGCGGAGGAACACCGAUGGCGAAGGCAGCCCCCUGGGCUAACACUGACGCUCAGGCACGAAAGCCAGGGGAGCGAACGGG
rnacentral:rRNA from 1 species